GCACUGCCUUGAGCCCCUGCUGCACCUGCGCGUGGCUGCGCACGGCGCCAGGGUCAGGUGCAGGCCCAGAGCACGUGCUUGCACAUAACUGGGGCCUAAUGCUCCCCACCCCGCCCCCUUUAACCCUUAGCCACAUGG